UACGUAGGGACCAAGCGUUGUUCGGAUUUACUGGGCGUAAAGGGCGCGUAGGCGGCAUGACAAGUCACUUGUGAAAUCUCUGGGCUUAACCCAGAACGGCCAAGUGAUACUGUCGCGCUAGAGUGCGGAAGGGGCAAUCGGAAUUCUUGGUGUAGCAGUGAAAUGCGUAGAUAUCAAGAGGAACACCUGAGGUGAAGACGGGGUUGCUGGGCCGACACUGACGCUGAGUGCGCGAAAAGCCAGGGGAGCAAACGGG
rnacentral:rRNA from 1 species